rnacentral:rRNA from 1 species
ACGGAAGGCAGCAGUGGGGAAUAUUGCACAAUGGGGGAAACCCUGAUGCAGCGACGCCGCGUGAGUGAGGAAGUAUUUCGGUAUGUAAAGCUCUAUCAGCAGGAAAGAAAAUGACGGUACCUGACUAAGAAGCCCCGGCUAACUACGUGCCAGCAGCCGCGGUAAUACGUAGGGGGCAAGCGUUAUCCGGAUUUACUGGGUGUAAAGGGAGCGUAGACGGCUUUGCAAGUCUGAAGUGAAAGCCCGGGGCUCAACCCCGGAACUGCUUUGGAAACUGUAGAGCUAGAGUGCAGGAGAGGUAAGUGGAAUUCCUAGUGUAGCGGUGAAAUGCGUAGAUAUUAGGAGGAACACCAGUGGCGAAGGCGGCUUACUGGACUGUAACUGACGUUGAGGCUCGAAGGCGUGGGGAGCAAACAGGAUUAGAUACCCUGGUA